rnacentral:rRNA from 1 species
AGCAGCCGCGGUAAUUCCAGCUCCAAUAGCGUAUAUUAAAGUUGUUGUGGUUAAAAAGCUCGUAGUUGAACCUUGGGCCUGGCUGGCCGGUCCGCCUCACCGCGUGUACUGGUCCGGCCGGGCCUUUCCCUCUGUGGAACCCCAUGCCCUUCACUGGGUGUGGCGGGGAAACAGGACUUUUACUUUGAAAAAAUUAGAGUGCUCCAGGCGGGCCUAUGCUCGAAUACAUUAGCAUGGAAUAAUAGAAUAGGACGUGUGGUUCUAUUUUGUUGGUUUCUAGGACCGCCGUAAUGAUUAAUAGGGACAGUCGGGGGCAUCAGUAUUCAAUUGUCAGAGGUGAAAUUCUUGGAUUUAUUGAAGACUAACUACUGCGAAAGCAUUUGCCAAGGAUGUUUUCAUUAAUCAGGAACGAAAGUUAGGGGAUCGAAGACGAUCAGAUACCGUCGUAGUCUUAACCAUAAACUAUGCCGACUAGGGAUCGGACGAUGUUAUUUUUUGAGCUCG